AACACUCAUUCCGGCAAAACCAAAUACCAUCUGUUAUCACAGCACGACUAAUAUCAAUCAUGUGAAAUUAUCUGGUUCAAGUUCUUGUAUCGGCACUCAAAAUACCAAAUUUAGGCCCUGCUAAAUGCUCAAAAAAGGAGAAACGCUUGAAAAAAGAAGUAUUGGCAAACUGAGGACACCGUUCAGCGCCCCUGAAAACUAUGAACCUCCAGACUCGCGUACCACGCGCCUUAGGGAUUUUUUAUCGCCGAGCGAAACACGUGAGGUUGUUCACAGGGAAAGUCGAGCAUAUAUAAAAGAACAAGAUUAUGAAGAAAAUAAGGUCUUAAAUGAUUCAUAUCCGGAGGAAAGUGACUCAGCCAAUGAUGGAGAUAGCAUGGACCAUUUGUUAACCGACGAUGAGUUAAGUGUUGGCUGUAUCGUUGCACCUCCAGAAAUUACACCUGCUCCAUCCUCCGACUACAUUCCGUCAGUACCGAAAUUAACCAGUAGACCUCUUCAACUGGAAAAAGAACCAAAACUACCAGUAAUUGUUCACGGGAGAACGAGAGGAAAUGUACGUGUUGAAUUAGAUCAAAUAAAAAAGAAGUAUAACAAGAAGCUGGACCUAGCAACUUAUAAUGCCGAAAAGAAGCAUAAAGAACACAAAAAAGAAAUGAAGGGAUGGUCAUAUCUCCUAUCAUUUCUUCCAUUUUUCAAACUAGAAGAUAUACAAUGUUCAUCAAGUUCUCUAUACAAAGAGGCUGAAUCUGAAUCAUCAGAAUGCUUGGAAGUAUUCAAUGCUCAGAAUUUUAAAAUCGUACCAUCGAGUAAAAUAUUCCAUAAAAAAGUAAGCGGUAUUGAUAGUGAGGCUGAAGAUGAACCUAUGUACUUAGAUGAAUGGAGCCCAUUGGAUGAGUCCAAAUCAAAGGAGGAUUCUGAUAAAAUGUUUCUGAUGAGUGUACUGCCACUUGUAAAGCAGUUGAAACCAAAGGACAACCUUGAAUUCCGUUUGGAAGUGCAGAAAUUAAUCAAAUCUAAACUAUUUCCAGCGUCCCAAACAGAUAUAGUGCAAAUCAGUAAAUCAAAAAUUAGCACAAGGCCUCCUUCAAGACAGCCUGAUUCUCAUCGUGAUGCAUCGCAUAAUUCGCAAACUACUUCUCAUCACAACCAGUCACAUCGGUCAUAUCACAAAGGAGAGCUAAAGCCAAAAGGGUCAAAGUCUACACACACAAAAGAACACAGACAUUUUAAUGAUACUGCUAUUUAAACAUUGUUUCCUAUUAUUAUGACACAUUGAGCUACCCAUUCUGUCCACUGUUUCAGUCAAUACCUGCUGUUUAUAGAAAGCUAGGUACAGUGUAUGACAACAAUGGGCGACUCAUUUCAUCAGAUAUCCAAGGACCCGAGUUAUGGGAGUACGAAGUCAAGUGCAAAAACAAGUAGGAAGUCGAGUGC